AACCGGCUGAGAUGAUGACGGUGGCCGAGAGCUCUGACAGGCCGAGGACCCAGAGAAGCUUGCCAUGGAGUUCAGCGCCGUCCCAGGGUGGGAGCCCGGGAGCUGAGGAUGAGCUGUCCCCACUCAGGCUGAGGCAGGAGGCCACAGGGGCAGAGCCACCCUUCCUUCUUCCUUGUUUCUCCCAGGCCCUCGGUGGACUUGAUGCGAAGAUGGAUGGACAAGGGGAUGGGGCAGAGCAGACAGGAUACUGAGCCCAAGGAAGCACAAUGGGACGUUCCAGUUCACUAUGUAGCCCACGCUGGCCUUAAAGUCACCAUGUAGCCCAUGCUGGCCUCGAACUGGCAGUGAUCCUCUUGCUUCAGCCUCCUGAGUGCUGGGAUGUCAGGCAUGCACCACCACGCCUGGCUAAUAUUUCUGUUUUUAAUCAACCACAUCAGUUUUGUGAUUUAUUAAUUCUAUGACCUAGGGCAUUUUACUUGACUUCUCUAAACCUGAGUUUCCUAAUGAGUCCAAAAGAAAAUAGAACAGACUUCUGGAAGUUAGGGACUACAUGACCAAACUGGCAUGCCCGGGCUAUGUGAUGGUGCUAGAACAGGGUCCCUUUCAUCGGCAUCCCCCUUCGAGAGAGGAGGUCAAACACCGGCUCUGUCAUUUACUACGAUGACUGACCUCUCUGAACCUUGGUUUGCUCAUGUUUCAAGUGAAAGUAAUAUGAGUACCUACUGCACAGGUAUCAUGAAGGUCCAUGCAAUGACUCAUGUGUAGAGCCUCUUAGAGAGUGGGGUGAGUAGCUCCCACAUGAAGUUGAUGAGGAGAUGCACUGCACUCUUCAAUGCUAAAUAUCCAUCGUGGUGCGGGUUUACAUUCAAGACGCAAUCAGUGUGAGCUGUCACGACUCCCAUGACUACUACUACUGCAGUUGUGCUAGGUGGACACUAGUUUGUCACUUUCCAUUCAUGAUGGGCCCUUUAAUGAAUCUUCUCAGCACCUAUCUCUUGUAGAAAAGUAGAUAGACAGAAGAUAGAUAGUAAAAAGUAGAUAGACAGACAGUUAUAAAUGUUCAGGACUAUAAACUGAAGAUCCCUGAAGGGCAGUUUUUUUAUGAGUAUCAGAAACUUGGGGUAUUUGAGUCUAAAGUAUAUUCAGAAUAAUAUGCAGAAAGGUAAUACUUGAGAACAGAUGAAUGGAUAAAGAAAAUGUAUUUAUGCAAAAUGGAGUACUACUCUACCAGGCAGAAGAUACAUUUGAGUCAUUUGUAGGAAAAUGGUUGCACCUUGAGGCAAUCAUGUUGAGUAAAAUAAAUCAGAC
rnacentral:lncRNA from 1 species